AAUCAUUCUGGUAUAAAGACACAUGCACUCGUAUGUUCACUGAGGUACUGUGUACAAUAGCAAAGACCUGGAACCAAUCCGAAUGCCCAUCAACGAUAGACUGGACAAAGAAACUGUGGCAAUAUACACCAUGGAAUACUACUCAGACAUAAAAAA